rnacentral:rRNA from 1 species
AUUGAACGCUGGCGGCAGGCCUAACACAUGCAAGUCGAGCGGAUGAAGGGAGCUUGCUCCUGGAUUCAGCGGCGGACGGGUGAGUAAUGCCUAGGAAUCUGCCUGGUAGUGGGGGAUAACGUCCGGAAACGGGCGCUAAUAUCGCAUACGUCCUGAGGGAGAAAGUGGGGGAUCUUCGGACCUCACGCUAUCAGAUGAGCCUAGGUCGGAUUAGCUAGUUCGUGGGGUAAAGGCCUACCAAGGCGACGAUCCGUAACUGGUCUGAGAGGAUGAUCAGUCACACUGGAACUGAGACACGGUCCAGACUCCUACGGGAGGCAGCAGUGGGGAAUAUUGGACAAUGGGCGAAAGCCUGAUCCAGCCAUGCCGCGUGUGUGAAGAAGGUCUUCGGAUUGUAAAGCACUUUAAGUUGGGAGGAAGGGCAGUAAGUUAAUACCUUGCUGUUUUGACGUUACCAACAGAAUAAGCACCGGCUAACUUCGUG